GACGAACGCUGGCGGCGUGCUUAACACAUGCAAGUCGAACGGAAAGGCCCUGCUUUUGUGGGGUGCUCGAGUGGCGAACGGGUGAGUAACACGUGAGUAACCUGCCCUUGACUUUGGGAUAACUUCAGGAAACUGGGGCUAAUACCGGAUAGGAGCUCCUGCUGCAUGGUGGGGGUUGGAAAGUUUCGGCGGUUGGGGAUGGACUCGCGGCUUAUCAGCUUGUUGGUGGGGUAGUGGCUUACCAAGGCUUUGACAGGUAGCCGGCCUGAGCGGGUGACCGGCCACAUGGGGACUGAGAUACGGCCCAGACUCCUACGGGAGGCAGCAGUGGGGAAUAUUGCACAAUGGGCGGAAGCCUGAUGCAGCAACGCCGCGUGCGGGAUGAAGGCCUUCGGGUUGUAAACCGCUUUCGCCUGUGACGAAGCGUGAGUGACGGUAAUGGGUAAAGAAGCACCGGCUAACUACGUG
rnacentral:rRNA from 1 species